rnacentral:rRNA from 1 species
CACUCCUGCGGGAGGCAGCAGUGGGGAAUAUUGGACAAUGGGCGCAAGCCUGAUCCAGCCAUGCCGCGUGAGUGAUGAAGGCCCUAGGGUUGUAAAGCUCUUUCACCGGUGAAGAUAAUGACGGUAACCGGAGAAGAAGCCCCGGCUAACUUCGUGCCAGCAGCCGCGGUAAUACGCAGGGGGCUAGCGUUGUUCGGAUUUACUGGGCGUAAAGCGCACGUAGGCGGACUAUUAAGUCAGGGGUGAAAUCCCGGGGCUCAACCCCGGAACUGCCUUUGAUACUGGUAGUCUUGAGUUCGAGAGAGGUGAGUGGAAUUCCGAGUGUAGAGGUGAAAUUCGUAGAUAUUCGGAGGAACACCAGUGGCGAAGGCGGCUCACUGGCUCGAUACUGACGCUGAGGUGCGAAAGCGUGGGGAGCAAACAGGAUUAGAUACCCUUGUAGUCCCAUG